rnacentral:lncRNA from 1 species
CCUAAUUAGAAUUCUAAUCGUAAUAAGACGGUUCAAAUUAUUUCCUAUAUAUAAAGGCUAGGUCCCCUCUCGUCUCCACAUGUUUCAUUAGAUUGCCCCAUUGAUAGCUAAUACUUUUGUGAGGAGUAAAGAGGGGAAGAUCUUAGCUGCUAUUACAACUACUAUUCAUAUUAAUAAUGGCUUCCGCAAGUAUGAAUUUGGUUUAUUAAUUUAUUAUUUGGUGAUUCUUGAUUCUUAGCAUGAUUACAAAUUAAAAUUUAACAUUAACUUGAGAAACAUGAUAGAUUCAUUCUCUCCAUAAUGAGAUAAUCACGUGAUACCUUCUAAAUUCAAGUAUGCCACUAAAUCUACAUUUCAAUUAAGUUCAAGAUAUUCUUUUUUAUUAAUUUUCAAGAAAUUACAUUUUAGUGGGCGAGCAUAUAACACAUAUAUAACAAAUAGUAAUUUGAGGGAAUUUGUGGAAUGGGAGCAUAAAGAGCAAGAUUAAUGGCAAAAUGCAUGCUUGGGGUCAUGAUGCUCUUGUGAUGAUGUUAUUGCACCGCAUUUGCCUAUUGAUAAAAUCAGUUGAGGCCUGGUCCAGUGAUGGUUGGAUCAGGCAGGUUUUUAGUUAUCAUUCAAGGGAAAGGUGGACAUGCAGCAAGCCCACGUAAAUUAGAGAUCCAAUUCUUGCUCUUUCUAUGGCAAUCCUUGCAUCCAACAGAUUGUCUCGAAAAAAUGAUCCUUUAGAGGCAAGGGUAUUAUUAAUUUUUUCCUUUCAUGUGGUCGUUUAAAAGAACCUUUUCUCUUUAAAUAUUCUACGGUAUUCCAGUAGAACUGAUUAUAACCAAAUUAAUAUGCAUGGUACAAUUGCGUUGGAUCUUACCAUGGACAUAAUGACAGGCAGAAGAAAGUGAAAGAAAAGUAUCUAUGGUAUGAUAUUUUCUCCUGUAAACUUCUUUUCUUUGUAGGGAUUACUACAAUGGUGGAAGAUAACCUAGUUUAGACCAAUCUCUAUAAAUUUUGUAUAUUUUUAUUUCUUUGUAUAAACUAAUUACUAUAGAUGGAAUAGAAUUAGAGUUUCUAAUCCUCGACAAACUGUGUAGGUAGUCUCAGUUGGAUAAUUAGGUGGUGGAGCAAGAAAUUUAAUCCCUCAGACAGUCAGGUUUGGUAGCAUGUUAUGGUUCUUGAAUGCGGA